AGUGAACGCUGGCGGUAGGCCUAAUACAUGCAAGUCGAACGGCAGCACAGUAAGAGCUUGCUCUUACGGGUGGCGAGUGGCGGACGGGUGAGGAAUACAUCGGAAUCUACUUUUUCGUGGGGGAUAACGUAGGGAAACUUACGCUAAUACCGCAUACGACCUACGGGUGAAAGCAGGGGAUCUUCGGACCUUGCGCGAUUGAAUGAGCCGAUGUCGGAUUAGCUAGUUGGCGGGGUAAAGGCCCACCAAGGCGACGAUCCGUAGCUGGUCUGAGAGGAUGAUCAGCCACACUGGAACUGAGACACGGUCCAGACUCCUACGGGAGGCAGCAGUGGGGAAUAUUGGACAAUGGGCGCAAGCCUGAUCCAGCCAUACCGCGUGGGUGAAGAAGGCCUUCGAGUUGUAAAGCCCUUUUGUUGGGAAAGAAAAGCAGCAGGUUAAUACCCCGCUGUUCUGACGGUACCCAAAGAAUAAGCACCGGCUAACUUCGUG
rnacentral:rRNA from 1 species